UACGCUUCUUCCGCCUCGAAUUGAGAAGCACAAUACGGAAGGAAUACAGUUGUGAAAUGAGGCAGGAGUGUGAAUGAGUUCAUAAAGAGCUUUCCAGCAUCAAGAGACAGACAAGAAAUAAAAAUCUGCCAUUUACUGUAACAUUUAGAUGGAUGUGAAAGAGGAGAUGUGUGAGGCUGACAUGAAUGUCAUGGAGGAAAAGACAAUAAACGUUAAGGUGGAGGAAUGUGAAUGGGAGAGUCUGGAGAUUAAGGAAGAGGACUGUGAACUGGGAUCAGAGAAUAUUAAAGAAGAGGUUGAAGAGAAGUUUGUCAGCUUUGAAAUGCACAACUAUUGGAGUAUGGAGAGUGUCAAGGCAGUCGACCUUCAUUAUGCACAUGAAGAUGGAGUAGGGACCAGGUUUGUCUCUUCUCAAAGUAGAAAUUCUUCAUCGCCAGAGUCUUCUAUCAAUGUAAAAUAUGAAUCAUUACAGUCUGCUACAGAGAGGACUGAAGGAAUUUCAUCUCCUAGAACUCAGGAAGGUAUCGCAUUUUACUGCUGUGCUGAAUGUGGCAAACAGUUUUCUGACAUGAGCAAACUUCAGAGCCAUCAAAGAAUUCAUACAGGAGAGAAGCCGUAUUGCUGCCCUGAAUGUGGAAAACAAUUUUCUUACAGUAGUACUCUUCAGACACACAUUAAAACUCACACGGGAGAGAAGCCAUAUUGCUGUUUUGAAUGUGGCAAAACGUUUUCACGGCGAAGCAAUCUUCAGAGUCACCAAAGAAUUCACACAGGAGAAAAGCCAUAUUGCUGUCCUGAAUGUGGAAAACAAUUCUCUUCCAGUAGUAAUUGUCAGACACACAUUAAAACACAUUCAGGAGAGAAGCCGUAUUGCUGCUCUGAAUGUGGCAAAACGUUUUCACAGAGAACCCAUCUUCUCAGCCACCAAAGAAUUCACAUAGGGGUGAAGCCAUAUUACUGUUCUGAAUGUGGUAAACAGUUUUCAGAAAAAAGCCAACUUCAGUGCCACAAAAGAAUUCACACAGGAGAGAAGCCAUAUUGCUGUAAUGAAUGUGGUAAACAAUUCUUCUACCGUAAUACUCUUCUGAGGCACAUUAAAACUCAUUCAGGCGAUAAGCCAUAUUACUGUUCUGAAUGUGGCAAAAAGUUUUCACAGAGAAGCCAACUUCAGAGCCACAAAAGAAUUCACACAGGAGAGAAGCCGUUUUGCUGUUCUGAAUGUGGCAAAAAGUUUUCGGAGAGAAGCAAACUUCAGAGCCACAAAAGAAUUCAUACAGGAGAGAAACCAUAUUGCUGUUCUGAGUGUGGUAAACAUUUCUCACACAAUAAUACUCUUCUGAUACACAUUAAAACUCACUCAGGAGAGAAGCCAUAUUACUGUUCUGAAUGUGGCAAAACGUUUUCACGCAGAUACCAUCUUCAACGCCAUAAAAGAAUUCACACAAGCGACAAGCCAUAUUGCUGUUCUGAAUGUGGUAAACAAUUCUCGGACAAUAAUACUCUUCUGAUACACAUUAAAACUCAUUCAGGAGAGAAGCCAUAUUACUGUUCUGAAUGUGGUAGAAAGUUUUCACAGAGGGGCCAACUUCAGCGUCACAAAAGAAUUCACACAGGAGAGAAGCCAUAUUGCUGUUCUGAAUGUGGCAAAAAGUUUCCACGUAGAGACAAUCUUGAGCGCCACAAAAGAAUUCACAUAAGAGAGAAGUGUUCGGAUUAGACAAAUAUACCAAAGUAACAUUCAUUACUGUAAAGUUGAAAUCAACCUUGCUGAAGAUUAUCCAAUAUGAGAACUUGACCAGGAGGAGACUUGAAAGAAGAGUGCUUUCAUGAACCGAAAAGAGCAGAGAUUGAAGAUCAGCAAUGAAUACACAAAAAGGUCAUAGACUGGCUACAUAAAGACCUCAUCAGUCUUGAUUUAAAAACAAAGUUGCUUCAUGCCAACCAACUAAUAUAUAAAAACUAAUGAAUACCAAGGCUUUACUUUCCUUGGGCAGAAGUGGAAUUCAUCAAGUAAAAGUAGAUUACACAUAUAGAUCUUCAAUCAUAGGACUGCCAGCAUUCUUUCUGAGCUCACAGGAUUGCCACAUUUUAAAUAUUACACCCUGGAAACCAAAAAUCAACCUCUCAUCAUAAAGCUUGGUUAAGCAAUCCAUAAAAUCGUGGGUUUGCACAGAGCGAGGUGACACAAUUUUUUGAUAUAGUGUACAGAAGAUAAUAAGAAGGAUCAAAGAUCAAAAGAGGAGAAAAAAAAAAACGGCUGUAGAAGACCACAAGUCCAGUAGGAAAUGCACAGACCUCCUACUAUAAGCUAAUGUGAACCAAAACCCGACCCUUAAUAAUGGCUUGGGAGAGGAGAAAUGAGAUGUAGGAAUGAAUGUUUGCUAAUGGCCACUUAAGAUUGUGGAUUACAAGGUUAUUAGCAACAUUUUCUGGGAGAAAUGGAAUAAACAACCAAUGUAGGUUUUGCAACAAACCAGUGGAAACGGUACAGUAUACCAGUACUAACGUUUAGAAAAUUCACAGCCAGAAAACCAGAAACACUAUGACAAUGCCCGAAUAAUUGAGGCAUCAGUCCAAAGUGAUAACUCUGUGCCUCAAAAACAGAGAGAAAAAAUAACAGAAUAUCAGGAGAUCCAAUCAGAAAUAUGGACCUAGAUGUGGAGAAAAAAAAACCUGAAAUGAUCCUAGUGUUCUUUGGAUCUGCAGGGCUUGUUAAAAAGAGCAUUUAAGCUUCUUUAGGCAUUCUGCAAGUCAAAGCUCCAAAAGGAGGUGCUGUUAGGAACAGAACCCUAGUGGUGAAGCUAAAAGAAUAAAAAGUGACAGUUCACAGAGGAUGCCAUAACUUAAGAGUGAGGUUCUUAAUAAUAAUGAAGAAAUCAACCUGAGAGAAAAGUCCUAUUGUUGUAAAUGUGGGAAACAAUUCUAUCACAAGAGUAGUCUUAAGAUCCACAAAAACAUUUUCACAGGUGAAAAGAAAUGCAAUCUGAGAUGAGACAGAUGUGGAGUAAACCCUUUGAGGUUGUGUUGGUGCUUAAUAAACAGACCUUGUCAAAAAAAAAAAAUAAUAAUAAUAAUAAUGUCCAGGCCCAUGUGGAUGCCUUAUAAAUUGCAAUCAUUCCAUAUGAACUACACAAGAAAUCACAGUUGUGGACAAUGCAAGUACUGAUCCAUGCCCUGUCAGCAAACCUAAGAGCAUAACAAGAGCUGCAGUGCAGAAAUCGAUCCAUAUCAACAAGCACAUUUCAGAAGUAAUGAGCGAGGGUCAUUCCUGUCCAGAAAAGUAAGCAAACUAAACCAUUGUGGAGAAAUGAAUCCCUUUGAGAAGCCAUAUGGCUGCAAUGAAUAUGGCAAACACUUUCACAAAGAGGGUGUAGAAUAUUGGUGUGUGUUGACUGAAAAACAUUUAAUCAAUCAACCCACCAUACGAGCGGAGUACAGAUGCCUCUCCUAAGAAUUGCAUCAGCAGUUACCUUGUUUGUGUACACUUCAAAGAGUGAUGAGAUAACAACUGUUGCCACCUCCAGGUAAACCACCACAGGGGAGUGGACAGCGAAAGACCAUUGUAAGUGAAAAGACUGCAGUUUUGCUGCUUAAAGCUAAUUUGGUCACAAAGAAAGCAAACUUUGGGUCAGGCAUUGAUUUGAAGGUUUUAGGAUCAGCGACACAAGUUCCACGCAAAAGGACUUUUUCAUGAUAAUGGAAUUCUUUAAAUCCCCUCAAAGUUCUUUUCAGUCAGUUCAUUCUGUGGCUCUUUCUAUUUCACUGAUUACAUUUGCUGUUUCGUUUAAUAAAGGUACCAAGACUGUUUCAUCAAGUUCCACAAUAAAGAGUAUUUCAAAGGACUUUCGCAAUGCAACUCUCAGCCCAGUUUGCCACAGUAUUACAUAAUCAUCCCCUGAAAAGACACUCAAGGAAGCCAAAUCUGCCUCCGGAAAGCAAGUCAAAGUUUGAUUAUUUUUUUUCUUAGAAGCAAGAACUGUUUGCCUACAUGAAAUACUUAAUUUGCUGUUUCCCAGCACACAAACGGUGUCUGUUAUAUCGGCUUCACAUUCCUGGGAGUGAUAGAGUCUCAUCUCAUUCCAUCUGAUAAUUAUUUAUCUGCAAGGGUGUAAUUGACAAUUGGUGUUCCAUAUUGGGCAAGUAAAUUGCCCUCAGUCUUUGCAACAACACAUAAAGGGGCAGAAAUAAAUAGACAACUUGGAAGAUUCUAGGACAAUCUCCCAGUAUAUAUAUAUCUGUGUUCUUAGCCAUUAUCCACCACACAUUUGUAAUUCAGUUAUUUCUGUUCCUAUAUAUAUAAUUGAGUUUGCUGAUAAAUUAUGAAUUACUGCAGACCGUGUCUGAUCAUUGACUCUGCUAGCAAGAGUAUUAAUGUUGAAAAGAUACAACCCUUUUUCCCCCUGAGGGCAGAUGCCUGCAGUUUAUAGACUGGAUAUUCUUAUUUGGUAUGUCCAGCUGGAAGCAAAUUUUGGGGCAGAUACAGGACACGCUAGUGAGAUUAUUACCCCAGGGGAACUGGCGGAGGUGGCUUAGAAAAGUGAUGUCUUGAGCAUCUUUGCUCAGGCUUCUACCCCUAUGAUUCGGACCUGGAGAAGUGGCAGAAAAUGAAUGGAUGCAUGGAUAGAUAUACAAAGAUACAGCCUGAUCUUCCUUUAGAGGAAACGGAUGACUCAGCUGAGAAUAAAUGUCAAAAGCUGGAGGAUAUCUGCUCUCGCGAAGGAACAAAGGGUGGCGAGAAAGCUGAAGUAAGACAACUUUCUGCCUGCAACGAAGUCAAUUAAAUAGCAUUCCAGCACCUUCUGUUGCAGAGGUAAGGAAAAAGUGGCCAUACCUUUUUCUUCAGAAAGGCCUAUUUACACAUUUUGAGCUUCUGACUGAGAUCAAUGUCCUACGUGUAUUUGAACUUUCUGUCGAAGAGUGUGGUAGGAGCAUUAUAGAGUUUUUUAAAACCAGGCCAACUAACUCAGAAGUUAAGGCAGUUCUUUCCAAGUAGGAAGCCAUUGAUUCAGCCCAUCUCAUUGUUCAACUCGUAAUGGCUCCCUUUGCAGAGAAUCAAGAUGGGCUUAUUCUUCAAGAAAAUGUAAGUUUUUCUUUAUAUACAUUAUUAUUAGUUCUUACUAUGAACAAAUAUGUAGGAAUGGUUCAAUCAAAUAUGUUUUGUCAUACUUAUAGGACUCGUUUGACUACAAAUUAGGAUAUUUUAAUAAAGAAAUUGUCUGUUUGUCUACACAGUGCAAGAAAAUGGUUACCUUGAAACUACAAAGGCACCAUUAAGUUAAUAUAUAGGGCUUUGAUGAUUUAUUGUCAUAAAGCAAUCUAAUUCCAUAUAACUGAGUGAACAACCAAAAGAAUCUUUUUUUUUUUUUACUGUGCAUCUAGAAGUCUUCCAUUUUGACUCUUAUUCUGUGCACUGUAUAGACCAACAGAUAUUAAAUGUUGAAAAUAUGUAUUUUGUGUCAACAUUAACAAAAAGGUAAAUAAAAGUUAAGAAGUAUACAUUUGGAUAAGCUAUUCUUGUUUUAAUAGGUACAUCGUCGAAUAUUAUUAGCACAUGUUUUUUGGAGAUGUUAAUUUCUAAUUCUUAUCUUUACCAAUAGAUCUCUGCCACUCCUGCUGACCUUGAGAAGACUGGUAACCUACCUGUGACUCCUCCAUUGAUCCUGCUUGGUCCAAGUGAUACUCAAGGGCAGUGGAUGAAACAAUGGAUGGAGGGCAGAAUAAUCUGUGAGGGUGUGCAACCAACCUUUCUCUCUGGACUUGCUGCUUUGUUUUCACUGUAUUACAUCUUCAACCUGCAAUAUCAAGAGGAAGCAGCACCCACAUUGGAAUUCCUUCAAAGAUGAUUUGUUGGAAUAAAUCUGGAAAAAGGGACCAAGGCUGCAAAAGGAAAAGUGACAUCUAAAAAGACUGGGAAAACUGUUCAAAAGAAGACCAUGACAGUCAAUCUGAAAGUGUCAAAUCUUUUAAAAAGAUUGAUGGACUUUGAGUGGCACUUUAUUUAA